rnacentral:rRNA from 1 species
CCUACGGGAGGCAGCAGUAGGGAAUUUUCCACAAUGGGCGAAAGCCUGAUGGAGCAACGCCGCGUGCAGGAUGAAUGCCUUCGGGUUGUAAACUGCUUUUAUAUGUGAAGAUUAUGACGGUAGCAUAUGAAUAAGGGUCGGCUAACUACGUGCCAGCAGCCGCGGUCAUACGUAGGACCCAAGCGUUAUCCGGAAUUACUGGGCGUAAAGAGUUGCGUAGGUGGCAUGGUAAGUUGGUAGUGAAAGCGUGCGGCUCAACCGCAUAUCCAUUACCAAAACUGCCAAGCUUGAGGAUGAGAGAGGUAGUUGGAAUUCCCAGUGUAGGAGUGAAAUCCGUAGAUAUUGGGAGGAACACCGAUGGCGUAGGCAGACUACUGGCUCAUUCCUGACACUCAGGCACGAAAGCGUGGGGAGCGACCGGGAUUAGAUACCCUAGUAGU